GCCCCUAUGGCGUAGUGGUAGCGCGUGUCACUUGUAUCACAUAUCAAGGUAAUGACAAGGUCUCUCGUUCGAUCCGGGAUGGGGGCA